UAGCUAUUUAUCGUGGCUCGCGGGAAUGUGAAAUCUAUAUCCGUUUGGAAAUAUGCCGAAUAAAACGGGGAAAUAUGUAGAAUAUAAAUAACUAAACUCUUAAUUCCGAUAUGAAAUUAUUGCACAAGUCACUGAGUGGGUACAAAGGUUCAGACUACAGAGUACGGACAGUACAGAGUACAGACUAUAGUGACUAAGGUUUACGGAAUCAGUCAUCACCCAACUGUUCGCUUCGACGUUUGUUUUCAGGUUUUCUGCGUGCUUAUAUAUACAAUUAAUGUAUUUCAGAAUAAAUGCACUUGUGUUACAGUCCGGGUAUUUAAUUCGAAAUAAUUUCGUGUCACGUGUAUCGAUUUAAAAAUUUCAAAAAUUUAAAACGGGUUUAAAAACGCACCUACCGUAAUAUAGUUCGCGCGCGAUGAGGAAAUGUGUGUUCAAUAUUUGAGUACCUACUACCAAUAUCAACAACAUUUGUGGAAAAGAGAGAAGCGGUGGAAAUGGAGCUUACAGAAACGACGAGAAAAGAAAAUAUAAAGGAAGUUUUGGUCAGCAAAAAAAUAUUGCAGGUAAGAUUAAUAAUAAUAUUUACUUGAACUAUGCGAACUAAUAUUCGAAUUAUUCGAUUAUACGUACCAGUAGCGCCAAAAUAUAUAUAUAAGUGUAUAAUAUAUAGGUGAUUUUAGUAGUUAAGAGGUAACCCUUGUCAUUCUAUAGUUAUUUUAUGAAAAUUUGUUUAA